GCGGAAGGCCGGAUGGCCGCGGUCCUGGCAACGGGGUCGAGGAAAGUCCGGACUCCCAGAAGUAACGGUGCCGGGUAACGCCCGGGCGGGGUAACCCGACGGAAAGCGCCACAGAAAAGAAACCGCCUUGUCACCCGGUCGGGCAACCGAAACCAGUGGCGGGUAAGGGUGAAACGGUGGGGUAAGAGCCCACCGCGCGACUGGCAACAGAAGCGGCACGGCAAGCCCCACCGGGAGCAAUGCCAAAUAGGGAUCGCGUGCCGACCGGCAACGGAAGGCGGGGCCGCUUUUGCCCCAGCAGAUCCGGGUUGGCAGCUGUAGCCAUACGGGCAAUCGUAUGGUCAGAGGAAUGGUCAUCGAACCGGGGCAACCCGGGGAACAGAAUCCGGCUUACAGGCCUUCCGCGCAU
rnacentral:RNase_P_RNA from 1 species